ensembl:lncRNA
UAAAUACACUGUAAAAAUAUAGAAUUAAAGAGGUCCAUCGGUCCUGUAAAUACACUGUAAAAAUAUAGAAUUAAAGAGGUCCAUCGGUCCUGUAAAUACACUGUAAAAAUAUAGAAUUAAAGAGGUCCAUCGGUCCUGUAAAUACACUGUAAAAAUAUAGAAUUAAAGAGGUCCAUCGGUCCUGUAAAUACACUGUAAAAAUAUAGAAUUAAAGAGGUCCAUCGGUCCUGUAAAUACACUGUAAAAAUAUAAAAAUAAAGAGGUCCAUCAGUCCUGUAAAUACACUGUAAAAAUAUAACAAUAAAAAGGUCCAUUAGUCCUGUAAAGACACUGUAAAAAAUGUAAAAAUAGAGGUCCAUCAGUCCUGUAAAUACACUGUAAAAAUAUAUAUUAAAGAGGUCCAUUAGUCCUGUAAAUACACUGUAAAAAUAUAGAAUUAAAGAGGUCCAUUAGUCCUGUAAAUA